ACGGAAGGCAGCAGUGAGGACUAUUGGUCAAUGGACGGAAGUCUGAACCAGCCAAGUCGCGUGAAGGAUGAAGGUAUUAUGUAUUGUAAACUUCUUUAGCCGUGGAGUAAUAAGGGGAUCGCGAUCCCUGAUGCCAGUACACUGAGAAUAAGGAUCGGCUAACUCCGUGCCAGCAGCCGCGGUAAUACGGAGGAUCCGAGCGUUAUCCGGAUUUAUUGGGUUUAAAGGGUGCGCAGGCGGCUUUUUAAGUCAGUGGUUAAAUCGUGACGCUCGACGUCAUCACGCCAUUGAUACUGGAGAGCUUGAUUGCGGUCGAGGUUUGCGGAAUUCGUUGUGUAGCGGUGAAAUGCAUAGAUAUGACGAAGAACACCGAUUGCGUAGGCAGCAGACCAGGCCGUAAAUGACGCUCAUGCACGAAAGUGCGGGGAUCGAACAGGAUUAGAUACCCUGGUA
rnacentral:rRNA from 1 species